AAUGGCUAAACGAGGGCUCCACUGUCUCAAUAAUAAACCUAGUGAAAUUGAAACGGUGGCGAAGCUGCCACCUAUGAAUUCUAAGACGAGAAGACCCCAUUGAGCUUUACUAUUAACUUGUAUUGCCAGAGCGCGAGCAAAUAAGCAAAAAGAUUAGAAGGGGAUCCGAAGGAUCCCCUUGCUUCAUAAUAAAAUUGUGUAGACUAAGUGGGAAAAAGAUAAAACAAGGGAUUUAAAAGAAUCCCGGGGCGCGGGAAGGGGGUGCCAAUGGCGUGGUUUUCCCCCCCCGCCCCGGGUCCCGAUUUAUAUGAAAAACCACUCUUUUUAUUAAGAUUACUGUCUACAACCGUACAAGUAAGAUAGUUUGGUUGGGGCGACCGCCUUCGAAAAAGUAUCGAAGGCGCACAUAAGAUUAGUCCGGAGGGGGGUCCGAAGGCCCUCCCGGGGGUAAUGCCCCAAAGAAAAGAUUAGUUUGACUGAGAGGGCUACAACCCGAACAGGCGCUAUUAAAAAGGGAUAAAAAGUCUUUUUGCGGGUCAUAGUGAUCCGUUGUUAUAUUGUGGGAUUGACAACGAUCAACGAAGA
rnacentral:rRNA from 1 species